rnacentral:rRNA from 1 species
CCUACGGGGGGCUGCAGUGGGGAAUAUUGGACAAUGGGCGAAAGCCUGAUCCAGCCAUGCCGCGUGUGUGAAGAAGGCCUUCGGGUUGUAAAGCACUUUCAGUGGGGAAGAAAGCCUUGGGGCUAAUACCCUCGAGGAAGGACAUCACCCACAGAAGAAGCACCGGCUAACUCCGUGCCAGCAGCCGCGGUAAUACAGAGGGUGCGAGCGUUAAUCGGAAUUACUGGGCGUAAAGCGCGCGUAGGCGGUCUGAUAAGCCGGUUGUGAAAGCCCCGGGCUCAACCUGGGAACGGCAUCCGGAACUGUCAGGCUAGAGUGCAGGAGAGGAAGGUAGAAUUCCCGGUGUAGCGGUGAAAUGCGUAGAGAUCGGGAGGAAUACCAGUGGCGAAGGCGGCCUUCUGGACUGACACUGACGCUGAGGUGCGAAAGCGUGGGUAGCAAACAGGAUUAGAUACCCGUGUAGUC